GAAUAAGAGGAUUGAUUUGACUGCUUGCAACCUCGUUCUAUCUCGGUAGAACACAAAUGCUAAAUCAGGAGUA
rfam:Nonlabens marinus S1-08 DNA, nearly complete genome.